AGUGAACGCUGGCGGUAGGCCUAACACAUGCAAGUCGAACGGCAGCACAGUAAGAGCUUGCUCUUACGGGUGGCGAGUGGCGGACGGGUGCGGAAUACAUCGGAAUCUACUUUUUCGUGGGGGAUAACGUAUGGAAACUUACGCUAAUACCGCAUACGACCUACGGGUGAAAGCAGGGGAUCUUCUGACCUUGCGCGAUUGAAUGAGCCGAUGUCGGAUUAGCUAGUUGGCGGGGUAAAGGCCCACCAAGGCGACGAUCCGUAGCUGGUCUGAGAGGAUGAUCAGCCACACUGGAACUGAGACACGGUCCAGACUCCUACGGGAGGCAGCAGUGGGGAAUAUUGGACAAUGGGCGCAAGCCUGAUCCAGCCAUACCGCGUGGGUGAAGAAGGCCUUCGGGUUGUAAAGCCCUUUUGUUGGGAAAGAAAAGCAGCAGGUUAAUACCCCGCUGUUCUGACGGUACCCAAAGAAUAAGCACCGGCUAACUUCGUG
rnacentral:rRNA from 1 species